ensembl:lncRNA
GAGAGCAGGGCACAGGUGACGACAAGGAUGAAGAUCCUCUAGCGAUAGACCCGCGACUACAGAAAACGAUUAUGUUCUGCUGACGUCACGAGUCCGAACGUCUGCAGAGGACGCGCUCACGUAAACAAACUGACCCGGAGACUGCUUGAAGAUUCGUUUCGGGACCCGUACACACCGGCCAGAAUCAGCACCCUGAUGUUACCAGAUGAGGACGGGUUCCCUUCUGAGUCCGGUUCCUCUCAAGGUUUCUUCCUCAUAUCAUCUCAGGGAGUUUUUCCCUCACCACCGGCUCGCUCAAUAGGGAUAAACUCACACGCUUAAAAUCUCCGUCCUGUGUUUAUAUGUUUCUGUAAAGCUGCUUUGAGACACUGUCCGUUGUUAAACGCGCUACACAAAUAAAACUGAACUGAAUUGUACGCCUGGAUGUCAGUGGAAUUGACAUCAAUCCAAUCUGUCACAGAACGCCUCCGCUGUAAAUGGGUAUUGUCCAGAAGAAGCUGAAGGAUGUCUUCGGUGAUGAGAUGUGGUCAGUGGUGUAGCGUGUGGGACCCGGGGUCAUACGCUUGGCAGGAUAGCAGUGCAGCGUCUCAGUGUGAGCGGAAGACCGGAGAAUCUGCCCAUAUUUUAAAUUCCAUUGAAGAUCUGCUGUCUGCUGUGUGUCGUCAGUCUCAGUGCUAUCAGAGGGGUCAGACUCCAGCACAAACUCGACUUCAUCCUCGGAACGCAGCUCUUCAGAUGCACCAGAGUGUGCGCUGUCAGUGAGCACAACUGUCUCCAGAGCUUCCUCCGCCGUGAAACGUCUCUUCAUCUUACAAGCUAUGAAAUGACCAGGUCCUCAAGCAUCACAUAUGUAUAGGUUUGGCUGCGAGAGCACGUGCGUCAACUGAACAAUCAGCAUUUUCUUCUGGUGAAAACAUAAACAAGGUGUUGAGGUUCUUCUGAACUUCUACAUCAAAAUCAAGCUCACCUUCUAUCUAUCUCUGUGCAGGAACAAUAACAAAUGAAAAAGUGCAAACAAGGGAUAAGAAACGUGUUCGAAUGCAAACAUCUUCAGAGCUCAGGAACCUUCUUUCACUCGUUUACAUGGGGUGGAAUUCGUGAUUUCCAGGACAAUAAAAAAUAUGAAAAAGACAAAAACAUCCAUAAGGACACACAAAGGUUAAUAUUUACAAAACUCAGAAUAUGAAAAAGUCGGGUACAAAAAUAUACUUUAGUGUUGAAUUAACUACUACGAAUGACCAUACAGUGUUAAAGUGCAAUAUACUGUGUAUAAAUAAUAUACCGACAUAUCGUCACAGUCUAUUCAUAAAUUAAAUAAAAUUGAAUAAUAAAGAGAUUUACUAAUGGCAUUAAUGACGUUUCAGUGUAUUCGGCUCUAAACAACCAUUUCA